AUAUUUCCCGUCAAUUGAAGUCUGUUACAACUCUGGGAGAGUAUACAAACUGUCUCUAAAUUAUAUAGCCGUUCUGGCUAUAUCAGAGAUAGUUGUAUUGUCUUUGCUUUAAUUUCGGUGUUUCAAGC